rnacentral:lncRNA from 1 species
AAGCAGGAGCUGUGAUGUUCUCCACUCACGUGAGCCUCUGUCCUCUUGUCUCUCCCACCACAGAGCCCGUGCCCCUUCCCCAGAUCCGGGCCACGGUUCCGUCCCCCACACCAGGCUGGUGCAACGUCACUGUGGAGUGUGACACCACGGGAACCAGGGAGGGCCUGACCGUGUCCUGGGAGAGCGAGGGCCUCCCCAAGGAGCUGGAGCAGAGACCAGCCCCGGGACCAGUCCCCAACCCCUGGACCCUGGCUGUGACCCUGCCCCUGAGCCAGCCCAACGCCAGCCUCACCUGUGUCAUCCGCAACCAGGUGGACCAGAAAACUGCCACCCGGGACCUUGGGGACGUCUGUGGCCACGACACAGGUCCACAUGCACAAGCCCCCACUGCCCAUGCGGGAGUCACCCAGUGCGUUGUUGUUCUUGCGCUGCUGAUUCUCGGAGCUGGACUGUGACCUUGUGUGACAGAACCGCUCAGCCUCAGCUACGUGUCAACCCCAGACGGCCCCGCUCUGCCCCUGGUCUCUACGACAUCCAACUGCCUUUCAGACCCGUAGCCCCUGGGACGAGCCCUGGUGAAUUCCCAAUAUCCCGCCUGGACCGUCUUGAACACCACCCAGCGGUCAGUCCCGUGCUGAGAGCUAUUCACGGACCCUGUGAAUUCGUAACCGUGAGCGCUGGCUGAGUGCCGCUCUGUGACUCGCACUGUUCUGACCACUCUGCUCGCUGUUAACUCACUGGGUCCUCGGGGACUCUCUGUGAAGGGAAUUUGAAUGGCUCCAUGAUGCAGAAGACAAAAUCUGGGUGGAGGGGACCUGAGAUGUCCCUAAAUCUCUCAGUGGAUCUCAUUCCUUCUACCGCGUCCCCAUCCAGGUGGAGUGGAGAGGGACCCUCGUGUCUGGCACCUCUACUAUCUCUGCCAUCUCUCUCCCUUCUGAACUUCCAGUCGUGGGCGUUAGUGGGAUAGACCAGACCCUGGGUCCUGCUCGACUCUCCUCCAGGGGAGCCUCUCCAAGCCUGUCGGGUUCCUGCUUUCCUGAUUUCUUUGCCAAAGUGAGCAGAUAGAGCUUGUGUGAGGAGCUCCCUCUCCUCUUCUCGCUUCCCUUUCUCAGCUGCUCCCUGCGCUGCUCACAAGUGCUGCCCGUGCUCUGGGGUGUCCUGCGUCUCAGGGUCAUGUCUCCCUCACUAGCCUGCAGGCAGCCCGAGGCCAGAAGCUUCGCCUUGUUCUCCGUCCCAUCCCCUGUGUCGCGGACAGAGCUGCUUCCUGGUGGCUGUUCAGUAGCUGUUGCUGGAAGAUGAGAGACGUUUGCUCAGAAAUCAUUUGUCCCUCAUCUGGGCUGCAGGAGAGCCCACCCAAGCCCCCUGUGAGAUCUCCUGAAGUGACAUCACUGUCCUUGCAGACGACCUGCUCAGAGCUGCCCACUGGUCCUGCAAGACAAGCUGCCAGGGUCUCCUGUGAUCGGACCCGCUCCGUGUGCAUCCAGCCGCGGGAGCUCAGCUCGGUUGCGAUCAUAGCUGCCAGUGAUGUGGGAAAGAAAGGCAGAAGAAAAAUUAUUAAAUUUCCUUACUAUCCACAGCCCAUUGACUAGUCCUUGAAACAGGCAGAGUGACCUUCCUCUAGGGAUACAACUCUUGAUGUUAAUACUUUGCUGAGGACAAAAGUCAGUCCUAGCCUGGGAUCCUGUAAGUCUACUUUAACAUACAGAAGUUCUUUUGGAAACUUCGUUUAUCUCUACCCGUCCCCCCUAGAAACAUGUUGGGAAUCAUCCUCAAGCGUAUGACCCACCGAUAUGCAUCUGAAGGGUUUCAUGACUAAGGUUUUAUCAGAUGGUAAUAAAUGACCUUUUCCCAACA